AAAUGGUUACUGGUGACAAUUACUGUGAAAACUGCAAAAGCAAUUACUUUGGAAUGUGGAAUACUUGGUUCAUUCACUGAUGCUACAAAACCAAACAUCAUGGAAGGAAAAACAUUUCGUGGCCUGUCAGAUGCAGAGAGAGAUGAAAUUGCUGAUAGGAUAUCGGUAAUGGGACAGUCAUCUCCCAAUGACAAAUUAUUGCUAGUACAAGCAUUGAGGAGGAAAGGUGAUGUUGUUGCUGUAACUGGUGAUGGAACAAAUGAUGCUCCUGCCCUUCUUGAGAUGGCGUUGCAGAUAAAGGCUGGAUCGAAGUAACUGGUGGGAUCUUUAUAUCAGGGUUGAUUACUUAUUAUGUUUAAAAUUUUUCAGACUUGGUAUUUUAUGUAAAAAUGAUAUUCUAGAAUUUUAGACAACGUUUAUAAUUGUGUUUUGCU